UAGGGAAUCUUCCGCAAUGGACGCAAGUCUGACGGAGCAACGCCGCGUGAGUGAAGAAGGAUUUCGGUUCGUAAAACUCUGUUGUUAGAGAAGAACAGCGCAUAGAGUAACUGUUAUGCGUGUGACGGUAUCUAACCAGAAAGCCACGGCUAACUACGUGCCAGCAGCCGCGGUAAUACGUAGGUGGCAAGCGUUGUCCGGAUUUAUUGGGCGUAAAGCGAGCGCAGGCGGUCAAUUAAGUCUGAUGUGAAAGCCCCCGGCUCAACCGGGGAGGGUCAUUGGAAACUGGAUGACUUGAGUGCAGAAGAGGAGGGUGGAAUUCCAGGUGUAGCGGUGAAAUGCGUAGAUAUAUGGAGGAACACCAGUGGCGAAGGCGACUCUCUGGUCUGUAACUGACGCUGAGGUUCGAAAGCGUGGGUAGCAAACAGG
rnacentral:rRNA from 1 species